UCUAGGAAUCCCCUCUUCCCCAACCCCCGCUGCCCCCAUCCCCCGUCCCCUCCUCCAUAUCACCCUCGUUGAGUCAUCGUCCUGGACUCCGACGAGCUUCCAUCGCCGCACAUGGAGGCCCUGUUGGCUGCGGCGGCUGCGUGAAGCCUCCCGUAUCAAGAGUUGCCUCCGCUCACAGACACCGGCGAGCUAUCACGGGCCAGCAAACAAGUUAUACCGCCCCAUUCGCCAUUCUUGAGCUUCUUGAAGUGCAGUUUUUCAUCCAUGCCGUGAGCGGACGCCGGCGAGCCGAGACAAAGAAACAGCACGUGCUUCGUGAGCGGACACCGGCGAGACGACACGAGCUGAGCCGAGGCAACAAUACGUUAAGGUCUUUGAGAAGAGUGGUUUACACCAACGGAUCCAUGCAACUGUGCUAGCAGAAGCUGAGUAGCCCAUAGGCCAUGGCGGCGACGAAGACUGUUUUUUUUUUUUGUCAUGGAAAAACUCACACCCCUUUUCUAUUCUUUUUUAUAAAAAUUAAUGAUUAUAAUUAAGACCAAAAGAGCCAAUUUUUGGGAUGAGGAAAAUUGGUUCAAACUUAAAGGAGGUCUUGUUUUAUCUGAGCUCUGGGCUUCGCGGAGUACAUCUGUACCUGCUUUCUCUGCUAGCAAAGGAGGAUAGCAAGAUGAAGUUGGUAGAGGAGACUUCAAACCAAAUACCUCUUGCUUCUUUUUGGAUGUAACUUCAUCUAAGUUUUCCGAUAUUUUUCCUCUCUCGAAUACUUUUAAUAGCAAGAAUGUAUAGAAAAGCUGAAUAAGAUACAAAAAUUUGGGGACACUAUGGACACACUGCAGAAAGUUGCAAACUUUGUCAUUUGACUAGCUUUUGUUCAGGUAGGAGGAACUAGGAUGUACUGAUGAUUGAACAAGCAGCUGCAAUAGCUACUCCAAUGGUAUGGGAUGUUAAGCUCGACCAUUUGAGGUGUCAGCCUAGCAUGUUUUUUUUGUAAAGUGUAUUGGCACACUAUGGCUGUUGUAUAGUAUGCACUUAUCUGAAAAAGUGACAUUUUUGGAGUACAUUAGAACAACAAUGGGGCAGCGCACAGAUGUAAGCUGUUCGAAAUUCACAAUCUUACGUUUCAUGGAUUAAUGUCAAUGUUCCAGUGCCAAUCUUUUUUGUGGCAGUGGAUGUUGGAAUUUUA